rnacentral:lncRNA from 1 species
UCAAGCUUAUCAAGUUUGGGAUGCAAGGACUUUGAUGUCGCAUGAGCAGUGGAGUGAGAACCGAUAAAGCCUAGCCACUCUUCGGUCACGAUCGACGAUAGCGUGAAUAUAUAGUGGCGGACGCAGGAUUUUCGUUUAAGAGGGGUACACGAUACAUUUUUAAUGGACGUUUCGGUAAAAACGUUUAGAGGGGGUUAGUUGUGUAUAAUCAAUAGAAAAAUAGUAAAAACUACCAGAAAAAAAUUUAAAAAAAUCUAAAAAAAAAAUUUUGGGCGGGUCAAAUGUUUGGGGGGCCGUAGCCCCCGCCCCCGGGACUACCACUGUGCAUAUGUGAAGUCUCAUCGCCUCAUGGUAUCUAAGGCGCCUAG